AGUCCUGUUGCGGCUGGGAUUUAGGUGCUUUUAACCUGAAAAUGGUGCAUAUCCUGUCAGCACUGCAGAAGAACUCGAGGACCUCUUGGCCUGGGCUCAAUCUGGAGUAUUUGGGAACUUGGAGAAUGGAG
rnacentral:lncRNA from 1 species